rnacentral:rRNA from 1 species
CCUACGGGAGGCAGCAGUGGGGGAUAUUGCACAAUGGGGGAAACCCUGAUGCAGCGACGCCGCGUGGGGGAAUGCAGGUCUUCGGAUUGUAAACCCCUGUCAUGUGGGAGCAAAUUAAAAAGAUAGUACCACAAGAGGAAGAGACGGCUAACUCUGUGCCAGCAGCCGCGGUAAUACAGAGGUCUCAAGCGUUGUUCGGAAUCACUGGGCGUAAAGCGUGCGUAGGCUGUUUCGUAAGUCGGGUGUGAAAGGCGCGGGCUCAACCCGCGGACGGCACAUGAUACUGCGAGACUAGAGUAAUGGAGGGGGAACCGGAAUUCGCGGUGUAGCAGUGAAAUGCGUAGAUAUGGAGAGGAACACUCGUGGCGAAGGCGGGUUCCUGGACAUUAACUGACGCUGAGGCACGAAGGCCAGGGGAGCGAAAGGGAUUAGAUACCCCUGUAGUC